GCUGCAUUUGGUUGUAAGGUCCCUCUAAUCUUGAGGCAGCAGCACAUUUGUUCUUUUCUAAUCAGUGGGGUCCAAAUACAGUCCCACAAACAUGAGUAGGAGAGAAUAUUGGAUAGAAGUUGGAAUCUAAUGGCAUCUUUAACAACUUCAGGUAUUUGACAUUUAAUGAAGAAACCAACACCAAUAAUCUUGUUUCGAUAUAUCUUGGAGAAUUUAUCAGGCAUUGGACUUUUUAGGUUUCACGAACUUAAAAUUCAGUCCCUAUUCAAAACUUUCAGGCCUUGCAAUUGUGCAGCAUGUCCCAGAAUUGCAAGUGAAUUAUCAGAAUCUGCUGACAACAAUUUCUUAGUCAUUUGACAUCUUAUGUAGAACUGAGUCAUAGAACAAGCUUAGGUGCAAAAUUCAGACCCUAUUCAAAAACUGCAAUUGUGCAACAGGUCAAGAACUCAGUGAAUCAUAGCAAAUUUCUUAGAACUUUGAAGGGAGGACUUGACUAGGCAACUAACACUGCAGGAAUUAGCUUACUAAACUGGUAUUUGGAACAAAUUAAGGACAAACUUGGCUUACCUUGUUCAAAACUUUAUGGCCCAGAAAUUAAGGCAAGUACAGUCUUCUACUCAAUGGUAAUCAUCUUUAUUUAUUAAAAAAAAUAUAUAUUCCCUUUAC